UCACAGUGAUAUCUUUCCUUUUAAUUUGCCUCAUCGCCUCCCUCAUCUAUACACCACCAGAGCACCAUGUGCUCUAUGAUCAUCUAAAAAAGCGAAAUAGAUGAGAGAGUACACGAGUGAGAUCGAGAAGGAGGGUGAUGUAGUGGUGUUGGAGAUCUGUUGGCGGCGAUAUAGGUGAUGCUACGGCGGUAUUAGGACUGCACACCGAUUGUGACCCGGUGGUCUGAAGAUUAAAUUGGUUCUGUGGAAAUGGAGAACGAUGAAGAGAUUGAUGAGGAAGAGGUGAUUUGCAGAAUAUAUUUGGUAUUUAUUUGAAUCCCAAAAAUUUCGUAUAACAUAUCUCAUGUGAGAUCUUCAUCUUUAUCGACACACCGCCAGAAAUUGAGAAUCAGUAUCUCUGAUUAAUUUGGAUCCUAGUAAUUCCAUAUAUUGUAUAUCUUGAUACCAUCAUCAUAAGUGUCGCUCACAACCAGAAGGGAGUUGAAUUAGCAUCUCGACGUUAUAGCUGGAAGACAUUUAUCUUGUUUUAGAAACAUAGUUUACUGGGUUAUAUAAAAUCAUGGAUUCAGGUUGCAGGUGAAGCAGUUGAAGUGGAAAAUUGAUAAUGAAGAACAUCAAGGAUAAUAACUUUAAUUCAUCUACAAAUUUUAAUUUUCAUCCGGUACAUCAUGAGGAUUUGGUCGAUUUUAUCCCCAUAUUUCAUCUUCUUCUUCCUUGCUAAUUUUUCCCUAAUUUUCGAGGUUUUCCCUUGUAACUAGAAAGUGGAAUGUUUAUGCUUGGAAUGUUUGAGUCCCUAGUUUUUGAGUAAUAAUAAAUGAUUAAAUGUGUAGUUUUCUA